GAGGAUUGCUUGAGCAUGGAAGGCCGAAG
rnacentral:piRNA from 1 species